AGCAAGAAAAUCUGCAGAAACCGAAUGGCCCUAUGGGGCACAGUUUCUGUCAGCCACCAACCUAUUGAUCAUGGUAGGACCUAGAACUUGCCGUCACAUCUUUCUAGUGAAAGCACAGGAAAAUGAAAGGCACGUUAGCGUCCUCAUUAGCCAAUUUAAUUCACCCCUCGAGGAAAUCAUCAAGAAUCAGAAACAUACAAAUUGAUGUAAACAACAUUAAUGCUCAAAAUGGAGAUGACACUAAAAUAGGUUCAUGACCUAGAGAAUCCACAUGUCCAAACAACCCUUUACAAAAACCAAUCAAAUCACGAGGACCCAGCAAUCAAUAACUGGACCAGUUCUACUGGUUCCAGCCAAACCAGAACACACAUGCCUUGUUAAUACUAUGUCGCCACUUGAAAUAUUUCAGGCUACAAUCGAUCCCAUCAGCACAAAUUAUUAUAACUUAAAGAAACAGACCAUAACAAAAAAAUUCCCACCGAUAUAUAUUGGAUUAAGUACUUGUUUGGAAACUUGUGCAUGGUUGAGGUAUAAUUUAUAUUUCUAAACUAAAAAUAUUUUUAAUCUUAUAACGUGGAUUGCACUGCAGUUAUGUAGUUUUUGAACUGUUUAAUUUUAUAAUAAUAUUUAUUUUUUAAUGUGAUUUUUACUUGAAAAUAUAUUUAUAUUUUUGAAAGUUAUUUUUUUGAUUUUUGUCAAAAUAAUUUAAUAAAAUUAAUUUUUUUAAAUUAUUGCAAAAACAUUUUAAAAGGCAAAAAGAAACUUAUCCUUAGAGAUGGUUUGGUAACCCGUGUUUUUUAAAAAGUUAAUUUUGUUUUUUGUGAAAAUUAAUUUUUUUAAAAAAAACUUUUUAAUACAUUAAUUUCAAAAAUAAUUUUUAAAAAUAAAAAAAUAAUAUUUUAAUAUAAAAAAUACUUUAAAAACAACUACAUACAACCUAAACAAAAUCUUAAUCAAACAAGCAGACCUUAAAUGGGUGGUUUUGACUUUCUACUCACGCAGACCAGACAAAUAAAUAGAAGGGUGUAGUCGUCUUAAGAAUAAUCAACCAAUAAAUAGCUGCCACAUAUAAAGUCAAAAAGUCAAUCCCAACUUUCACCGGGCCAAAUUCCUCCAACGCCCGCCGCCCGCUGACAUAGAUUCUCCCUUACCAAACUUAAAGAUCGUAAAUGGAAGCGACCCUCCAUAAUCAUUUUCUUUCUCGAAUCUUCUCUUACACGUUACCAAAACCCAAAAACCCACCAAAUGACCCGACCCAUUUUAUCUUCGCCAUGAAAAACCCAUUUAAGCCAAUAUUUAUAUCACCAAAAACAAUCACCUUCAAUUCAAGAUCUCAAGAUCCCAAAUCCUGUCACGUUACUGCCAAUUUUGUAAUGGCAACGGAAAAUAAAAAUCAACAGAUUGAAUCAACGGUGAUGAGUAAACAAGGAGAGGAAGAAUCGAAGAAGAAGACGGCUCCCCCGCCGCCGCCGCCCCCCGAGAAGCCGGAGCCAGGAGAUUGUUGUGGGAGUGGAUGUGUUCGAUGUGUCUGGGAUGUGUAUUAUGAGGAGCUUGAGGAAUAUGACAAGCUUUAUAAAUCUGAUUCUUCAAAAUCUUAGCCCGCCCCUCGUGAUGUGAUGAUGAACUGUAUUCUUUCAGAUUUGUUUUUCUGGGUUACAGAUUCAAAUUAAUUAGGUGGUGUUCUUGAUUUUUAUUUUUAUGAAUAUGCGGUCCUUGAUUGUAAUUCGACUAUACCAGGCAACAAUAGAAAUUCCUGAAUCAGGAUUAUUUUUUUAUGGUAAUUAUCGAUUUUCUUUAUUUUGAUUAAUGAGAUCUAAUUUCAUUGAAAUGAAAAACGAUUUAGCGUUGUUAUAAAUUAUAACCUGAUUCAAUUUAAUUAACAAGUUAAUUUUGG
rnacentral:lncRNA from 1 species